GAGGAAUUUUGCGCAAUGGGGGAAACCCUGACGCAGCAACGCCGCGUGAGUGAUGAAGGCUUUCGGGUCGUAAAGCUCUGUCGAGUGGGAAGAAACAGCAGCGGUUAAUAUCCGCUGCCUUGACGGUACCACUAAAGGAAGCACCGGCUAACUCCGUGCCAGCAGCCGCGGUAAUACGGGGGGUGCAAGCGUUAUUCGGAAUUAUUGGGCGUAAAGGGUGCGUAGGCGGUUUUGUAAGUCAGAUGUGAAAUCCCGGGGCUUAACCUCGGAACUGCAUUUGAUACUGCAAGACUUGAGUAUGGGAGAGGGAAGCGGAAUUCCUGGUGUAGAGGUGAAAUUCGUAGAUAUCAGGAGGAACACCGGUGGCGAAGGCGGCUUCCUGGACCAAUACUGACGCUGAGGCACGAAGGCGUGGGGAGCAAAC
rnacentral:rRNA from 1 species